GGGGAUUUGGCUCAGUGGUAGAGCGCUUGCCUAGCAAGCGCAAGGCCCUGGGUUCGGUCCCCAGCUCCG
rfam:Rattus norvegicus chromosome 9, whole genome shotgun sequence.